rnacentral:rRNA from 1 species
UACGUAGGGGGCUAGCGUUGUCCGGAAUUACUGGGCGUAAAGCGUGCGUAGACGGCUAUCUAAGUCGGGUGUGAAAGCCCCGGGCUCAACCUGGGAAUUGCAUUCGAGACUGAAUAGCUAGGGUGCGGUAGAGGGAAGCGGAAUUUCCGGUGUAGCGGUGAAAUGCGUAGAUAUCUGGAGGAACACCGGUGGCGAAGGCGGCAUCCUGGACCAAUAUUGACGCUGAGGAGCGAAAGCCAGGGGAGCAAAGCGGG